rnacentral:rRNA from 1 species
AGGGCACCACCAGGAGUGGAGCCUGCGGCUUAAUUUGACUCAACACGGGAAAACUCACCCGGCCCGGACACCGUAAGGAUUGACAGACUGAGAGCUCUUUCUUAAUUCGGUGGGUGGUGGUGCAUGGCCGUUCUUAGUUGGUGGAGCGAUUUGUCUGGUUAAUUCCGAUAACGAACGAGACUCUGGCCUAUUAAAUAGACGAUAUAUCUAUCUAGUAUAUCGCGCUUCUUAGAGGGACAAGCGGCGUCCAGCCGCAUGAAAUAGAGCAGUAACAGGUCUGUGAUGCCCUUAGAUGUCCGGGGCUGCACGCGCGCUACACUGAAAGAAUCAGCGUGCGUUUUACCUAGUUCGGAAGAACCGGGUAACCCAAGUAAAUUCUUUCGUGCUUGGGAUAGGGAAUUGCAAUUAUUUCCCUUGAACGAGGAAUUCCCAGUAAAUGCGGGUCAUAAGCUCGCGUUGAUUACGUCCCUGCCCUUUGUACACACCGCCCGUCGCUACUACCGAUUGGAUGACUUAGUG